rnacentral:rRNA from 1 species
CGGACGGUAACAGGUUAAGCUGACGAGUGGCGAACGGGUGAGUAAUGUAUCGGAACGUGCCCAGUCGUGGGGGAUAACUGCUCGAAAGAGCAGCUAAUACCGCAUACGACCUGAGGGUGAAAGCGGGGGAUCGCAAGACCUCGCGCGAUUGGAGCGGCCGAUAUCAGAUUAGGUAGUUGGUGAGGUAAAGGCUCACCAAGCCGACGAUCUGUAGCUGGUCUGAGAGGACGACCAGCCACACUGGGACUGAGACACGGCCCAGACUCCUACGGGAGGCAGCAGUGGGGAAUUUUGGACGAUGGGCGCAAGCCUGAUCCAGCCAUGCCGCGUGCGGGAAGAAGGCCUUCGGGUUGUAAACCGCUUUUGUCAGGGAAGAAAAGGUUCUGGCUAAUACCUGGGACUCAUGACGGUACCUGAAGAAUAAGCACCGGCUAACUACGUGCCAGCAGCCGCGGUAAUACGUAGGGUGCAAGCGUUAAUCGGAAUUACUGGGCGUAAAGCGUGCGCAGGCGGUUAUGCAAGACAGAGGUGAAAUCCCCGGGCUCAACCUGGGAACUGCCUUUGUGACUGCAUGGCUAGAGUACGGUAGAGG